AGUCGAACGGUAGCACAGAGAGCUUGCUCUCGGGUGACGAGUGGCGGACGGGUGAGUAAUGUCUGGGAAACUGCCUGAUGGAGGGGGAUAACUACUGGAAACGGUAGCUAAUACCGCAUAACGUCGCAAGACCAAAGUGGGGGACCUUCGGGCCUCAUGCCAUCAGAUGUGCCCAGAUGGGAUUAGCUAGUAGGUGGGGUAACGGCUCACCUAGGCGACGAUCCCUAGCUGGUCUGAGAGGAUGACCAGCCACACUGGAACUGAGACACGGUCCAGACUCCUACGGGAGGCAGCAGUGGGGAAUAUUGCACAAUGGGCGCAAGCCUGAUGCAGCCAUGCCGCGUGUAUGAAGAAGGCCUUCGGGUUGUAAAGUACUUUCAGCGAGGAGGAAGGCAUUAAGGUUAAUAACCUUGGUGAUUGACGUUACUCGCAGAAGAAGCACCGGCUAACUCCGUGCCAGCAGCCGCGGUAAUACGGAGGGUGCAAGCGUUAAUCGGAAUUACUGGGCGUAAAGCGCACGCAGGCGGUCUGUCAAGUCGGAUGUGAAAUCCCCGGGCUCAACCUGGGAACUGCAUUCGAAACUGGCAGGCUAGAGUCUUGUAGAGGGGGGUAGAAUUCCAAGUGUAGCGGUGAAAUGCGUAGAUAUUUGGAGGAAUACCAGAGGCGAAGGCGACUCCCUGGGUAAUAACUGACACUGAGGUACGAAAGCUUGGGGAGCAAACAGGAUUAGAUACCCUGGUAGUCCAUGCUGUAAACGAUGUCAAUUUGAAGAUUGUAAUAUUAUUAUUUUUUAUAAUUUUCGUAGCUAACGCAUUAAAUUGACCGCCUGGGGAUUACGACCGCAAGGUUAAAACUCAAAUGAAUUGACGGGGACCCGCACAAGCGGUGGAGCAUGUGGUUUAAUUCGAUACAACGCGAAAAACCUUACCUACUCUUGACAUCUAUAAGUAAUAAAGCAGAAAUGUUUUAGUAUCUGUUUGACAGAAUCUUUAAGACAGGUGCUGCAUGGCUGUCGUCAGCUCGUGUUGUGAAAUGUUGGGUUAAGUCCCUUAACGAGCGCAACCCUUAUUCUUUGUUACCAGCGUAAAGUCGGGGACUCUUAGAAAACUGCCAAUAUAAAUUGGAGGAAGGUGAGGACGACGUCAAGUCAUCAUGGCCUUUAUGAGUAGGGCUACAUACGUGCUACAAUGGUGUAUACAAAAAGAAGCAAAUUUGUAAAAACGAGCAAAUCUAUAAAAUACAUCACAGUCCGGAUUGAAGUCUGCAACUCGACUUCAUGAAGUAGGAAUCGCUAGUAAUCGUGAAUCAGAAUGUCACGGUGAAUACGUUCUCGGGUCUUGUACACACCGCCCGUCACACCAUGGAAGUGAAUUGCGAAAGAAGAAGAUAUACUUAAUCAGAAAUGAAGGUUUUUU
rnacentral:rRNA from 1 species